rnacentral:tRNA from 1 species
AGGGGUGUAGCUCAGCUGGUAGAGCGGCGGUCUCCAAAACCGUAGGUCGCGGGUUCAAGUCCUGCCUCCCCUG